CUGAGAAGAAACAUCUGAAAGAUGAAAAACACAAAGGAGCUCCACCAGCAAAAGAAGCUCCAAAACACCACAACCUGACAUCAGCUCCUGUCCGCUACUUUCAAUGUGUUUUCAUAAACGGACCUAACGGAUUUGGACUGCAGUUUCCUACCAAUCCUUCUUCAGACAAGGAAGAAAAGAGUCACUCAAAGACUUCCAAGAGAAAGACAAGGAAGCCAGGACAGUAGAGAGACUGAGUCCUGUGAUUGCUCGCAUUUUGCACAUUAUCUUUUCUGCUGAGGUCCACAGUAGUCACAGUGGUACUUGUCAUUGCAAGAAUGUGAUCCAUUUGUCACAUGUACCUGGAAAAGCUUCCAUGAGACACGGGCAAAACAAAGAGUAAUAAGCUGUGUUUGACAAAGGCAGAGAAGUAAAAGCACCCCAUUUCUCGUGGAAAGGCUGCUAACAAAGCAUUGGCCUGACUGUGUGUGUGAGCGUGUGUGUGAUUUCCUGCCUCUUUAGCUCUGUUUUUCUUAACCUGCUCGGCAUUAAAGUCAGUCUGUUUUCCAUUUAUUCUUAACUAGGGAGUGUGAGGCUGAACAUAGCUUUUAUAUCAGCAAGAUUGCAAGACUGCCGGCAAUCCUAAAUCACUUCUUCUUAAAGUUCAAUCAAAUUGCUGACAGGAGAAAGUCUCAAUAAAUCAUGAAAAUGUGCCCUGCAACUGGUGCUAUUUUUAUUUCUCAUUGACUAGUGUGGCUUGAAGUUCACAAUUGCUAUCAGCAGCUCAGCAUACUACCAGUAAGUUGAUUCUUCAAGUCAUGCUAAUGAUGGAUAUUUCUGUUUAACCUGAAGCAGUUAAAGGCACUAUGUUUGCCCUGCCUGCUGGCAAAAUACAAGUAGUUCACGUUAUAAAGCCCAAAGUGAGAACAGAAAGUAAAACAACAUGGCAAAGGUGAGAAAAAUCGAUGUUUUAUCAACAUGACGAUCCCAAGAAACAAGCAAAACAAAACAAAACAAAACAAAAUCAGAUCUAUUUGUAGCAAAAACCAUGAAAAUUGAGAAUACACCAGCCAACCACUUUCUAUGAGCUUAAGAUGAAAAGCUGUGAUAUAUGAUGCUGGUCAAAACAUGAAACCAAUCCAAAUACCCAGGGUGCAUGCAUGCCAAUUUGUUACAAUCUCAGAUCAGUGAGAGAAAAAAUAAAAAUAAAAUCAGAAGCAUAUGCAAUAAUCUGGGUAGUUGAUUUUACUAGAAGUAACUCCUCCCCAUAGACAGAGUUUCUGAGCUAUUAGAAGGAUUUUUUCAGAAUACAUCCCUGUUGAUAAAUUAUAGAUGAGAACUGAAAGUAAAUAAGCCUAUCUUCAACUUUCUUUUGUUUGUUUCUAUAGAAAUAAUUGAUUGGUUACCUUAAGAAAGUGAUGGGAAGACAUUAGAUCCCUGAAAACCCGUAACUGAAAAUCAGUACCUUACUUGCUUAUACAUCUGACAAUGUAAAAUGCUACGCAUUUUCUCAAGCUGCUGUAUGCUUGCAUUUAAUCUAUGAAAGGAAUGGCAGUGAUCUUAGAGAGACAACUACCAGCUGAAGGAGCACUACAUUCAUUGUACAACUGGAUACUUGUAGCAUCUGACCACACCUGUAACAAUCCAUUGCUCUAUUUUCUGCAUAAUUCCAGGCAAUGUCACUGCUUUUCCCCAUUCUCUCUGCCUGCCAACCUGUUCAUAUCUCAAUUAAAUAACUUACUCACAUGUGUUUCGGACAACUGAAUUUCUGACAAACGAAUGCAACUCAGAUUGCUUUGCUGUUGCACUGUUGAGUCAAGCUGAUACUCUGAUUAUUGAUCACGGCCUCACAUAGACUAGAUCCAGUCUCAUAUUUUGUCCUUUGCUGUAAAAUCUGUGAUUGCAACAAGCAACUUAGAUAAUGGUUUCUGAAAAGAGGUAGGAUCAUUCUCUAGGAGUAGCUCUUUCCAUACUGGAGUGCAUGGCAGAUAAAAAAAGUUCAGGCCUCCGCUGUUACCUGUGAAAUCAUUUUCGCAGAUUUACGGUGAUAUAAAGCUGCUGGCAGAGAAUAUUUCAUGAUAAAAUGUCACUUGUUACUUUUGUUUCAGUAGGCCUUUUUAUAUUUCCAGUGUUGGGUUCUUUUGUUUUGGUUUUGGUUUUUUUUCCCCAAUUUAUGAUUAUGUGUAUAUUAUUAUGGAUGUUAUUGCCUUAGGCUUGUAUUGUGAAUCUUAAAAUAAGACUAUAACUUUCCAAAAAUCAUUUAAUUUCAUUCAGGACUUUAUCCAAUUUCAAUAAUCAAAGCAAGAUUGCACUAUAAGCCUUCAUUUUUUUCAACAUUUUUUACCACUGUCAAUUCCAUACAUUAUGAUUAGCCAUAACCUUUCUUUCUCAUUUGAGUUGAGAGGUGGUGAGGAUAUAUUUCAUGUAUCAUUCCCGUAAUGUCUCAGUUAUGCCUCUGAGCGCUUUGUAAACAUAAAUAUUGAUUAUCACUGAAAAAGUAAUAUGAAAUGAGCUAUUUAUUUUUCUUCUCUAAUAUCAAUCUGAUAUCCUCUAAGAACAAAGGAAACAGUUGUGCUCUCAAAAUGGCAAGCAUUUUUCUCUUUAAAUUCAACUGGAACCUUAAAAAGUAUUAUUUGAAUUGCAUGGCUUUACUCAAAUUAGCCUGAAAUAUUUCAAAAUCAUACGCUGAUUGUUAUCUGUUUUGAAAAAUAAAGGUUAUAUACUGUCUGUGACUGUAGAUUGUUUUUGUGAAUGCAAAAGUGGAAGGUAGGAAUUUAUGUAUGUAAAAUUUUAUUCCUACUAAGUAAUUACUAAGUAAUUACUGCUAAGUAAUAGCAAAUCCUAUAAAUAUGAAGACGGCAUUUCUUACAGCUGAAAAUGAAUCAUUCCCCAUUCUAUUCACUCCUAAUGGGCUUUUGCAAUACUUAUCUUAACUAGUGUUUCCACACACUUCUUUUAUGGAUUAUACUCUAACAGUUAAGUCAAAUUAUUUACAGCCAUUUAAGACAGAACUUCAUUUGGUACCAAAAUAACCCACAUUUGUCAAGAUACUUAUUUAAACUAUUAUUGUAAAACUAGGAAAAAAAAAAAAAAAAGAAAAAGAAAAGAAAGAAAAAUGCAUUCUCCUAUAACUAAUCUGAGGUCAAGAUGAUCUCGAUGGCCAAGAAACAGAGAGACCAAAAAUUGUGAGAUUUUUUUAACAAUAAGAUUUUUUUAACACUUUUAAGAACUAUGGCUUGUCUAUACUAGCAAUUGCUAAAACCCAGGAGGUGAUGCAAGAACCAGACUAUGGUCUGAAGACAGCAUAACUAAUUGCAUAUCCCUGUUUUGGGAUUUGAAGUCUCUCUGCCCAUGGAGUUUGGUGAGUCUUUGCACAUGAAAGACUUAUUGCUCCAUAGGAUUGUUGUGCAGGUGAAUCAACAUUUCAUGAGAUGAAACUCCUCUUGCAGUUCACCUUUCCCUGAGAUGCUAAAAUUCUGCUGAAGUAAACAGGAACAGAAAGGCUUCAUCAAGGCUUGCAGAAGCCCAAUAGAUAAAUUUUACGUUGCUCAGCCAAGAGCAAAGUGAUCACCAGAGAGCUGCCUGCUCCUGCUAAUACAGUUCACUGAUCUCAUCUUCAGCCCUCUGACCGCAUUCAUUGUUUCACACUGUUACUUCUGUUGCAGCUGGAGUCUGAUUUCAGCCUUUUACAGCUUCUAGAGUUAAUUAAUUCUCAUCCCCUCUUUCCAGCAAACCAUGGGUUCUCACAAUGGGUCAUUUCUAAUUGAUCAAGGAGGGGCGGUUGAGACUGACGUAGACUCUGGAAAAGGGGGAUGAAGGGUUUUGUCUGAAUGUUUGCCUUUCUGUUUCCUACAAUCCAAUUAUUAAUGACAUUUUUAUUAAUGACAUUUAUUUUAAUUGGCAAUAAAUUUAACUUUCACAAAACUA